rnacentral:rRNA from 1 species
GUCUGUUUGAAUUAAAAUAAAAAGUCUAGCCUGCCCACUGAGAUAUUAAAGGGCCGCGGUAAUUUGACCGUGCGAAGGUAGCAUAAUCAGUAGUCUUUUAAUUGGAGGCUUGUAUGAAUGGUUGGAUGAGGGACAUACUGUCUCUUCUUUAGAGUUAUAAUUUGACUUUUAAGUGAAAAGGCUUAAAUUUUUUGAAGUGACGAUAAGACCCUAUAAAACUUGAUAUAUCUUUUUUUUCUUUGAUAAUUAAGUUUAAAUUAAGGCUGGAGGUGGUAUAUUACGUUGGGGAAACGUUGAUAUAAAUUGUUGUAAUUGUUUUAAAAAUUUAAUAAUUAUAAUUAGAUUUUGAUCCUUUAUUAUGGAUUAUAAGGUUAAGUUACUUUAGGGAUAACAGCGUAAUUUUCUUUGAGAGUUCUUAUCGACAGGAUUAGUUGCGACCUCGAUGUUGAAUUAAAAUUUCAAGUAGGUGUAGCCGCUUGCUUAGUGGGUCUGUUCGACCUUUAAAAUUUUACAUGAUUUGAGUUCAAACCGGUGUGAG